GGACUACACGGGUUUCUAAUCCUGUUUGCUCCCCACGCUUUCGCACCUCAGCGUCAGUACCGGGCCAGUGAGCCGCCUUCGCCACUGGUGUUCUUGCGAAUAUCUACGAAUUUCACCUCUACACUCGCAGUUCCACUCACCUCUCCCGGACUCAAGCUCCUCAGUAUCAAAGGCAGUUCUGGGGUUGAGCCCCAGGAUUUCACCUCUGACUUAAAGAGCCGCCUACGUGCGCUUUACGCCCAGUGAUUCCGAGCAACGCUAGCCCCCUUCGUAUUACCGCGGCGGCUGGCAC
rnacentral:rRNA from 1 species